rnacentral:rRNA from 1 species
UUCCGCAAUUGAUUCAGCGGCGGACGGGUGAGUAAUGCCUAGGAAUCUGCCUGGUAGUGGGGGACAACGUUUCGAAAGGAACGCUAAUACUAAAACGUCCUACGGGAGAAAGCAGGGGACCUUCGGGCACGUCGCUAUCAGAUGAGCCUAGGUCGGAUUAGCUAGUUGGUGAGGUAAUGGCUCACCAAGGCGACGAUCGUCGCUGGUCUGAGAGGAUGAUCAGUCACACUGGAACUGAGACACGGUCCAGACUCCUACGGGAGGCAGCAGUGGGGAAUAUUGGACAAUGGGCGAAAGCCUGCCAACCAUGCCGCGUGUGUGAAGAAGGUCUUCGGAUUGUAAAGCACUUUAAGUUGGGAGGAAGGGCAGUAAGCGAAUACCUUGGCGUAGGACGUUACCGACAGAGUAAGAGUGACGUAACUCUGUGCCAGCAGCCGCGGUAAUACAGCGGCUAGCAAGCGUUAAUCGGAAUUACUG